ACAGCAGCCGCCACGGUAAUACGUAGGGUGCGAGCGUUAAUCGGAAUUACUGGGCGUAAAGCGUGCGCAGGCGGUUAUAUAAGACAGAUGUGAAAUCCCCGGGCUCAACCUGGGACCUGCAUUUGUGACUGUAUAGCUAGAGUACGGUAGAGGGGGAUGGAAUUCCGCGUGUAGCAGUGAAAUGCGUAGAUAUGCGGAGGAACACCGAUGGCGAAGGCAAUCCCCUGGACCUGUACUGACGCUCAUGCACGAAAGCGUGGGGAGCAGACAGGAUUAGAUACCCCCGUAGUCCCUGUCUCUUAUAC
rnacentral:rRNA from 1 species